rnacentral:rRNA from 1 species
UAGGGAAUCUUCGGCAAUGGGGGCAACCCUGGCCGAGCAACGCCGCGUGAGUGAAGAAGGUUUUCGGAUCGUAAAGCUCUGUUGUAAGUCAAGAACGGGUGUGAGAGUGGAAAGUUCACACUGUGACGGUAGCUUACCAGAAAGGGACGGCUAACUACGUGCCAGCAGCCGCGGUAAUACGUAGGUCCCGAGCGUUGUCCGGAUUUAUUGGGCGUAAAGCGAGCGCAGGCGGUUUGAUAAGUCUGAAGUUAAAGGCUGUGGCUCAACCAUAGUUCGCUUUGGAAACUGUCAAACUUGAGUGCAGAAGGGGAGAGUGGAAUUCCAUGUGUAGCGGUGAAAUGCGUAGAUAUAUGGAGGAACACCGGUGGCGAAAGCGGCUCUCUGGUCUGUAACUGACGCUGAGGCUCGAAAGCGUGGGGAGCGAACAGGAUUAGAUACCCUGGUAGUCCACGCCGUAAACGAUGAGUGCUAGGUGUUGGAUCCUUUCCGGGAUUCAGUGCCGCAGCUAACGCAUUAAGCACUCCGCCUGGGGGAGUACGACCGCAAGGUUGAAAC